rnacentral:rRNA from 1 species
ACUUGAUAUAUAAUUAAAGGGCCGCGGUAGUUUGACUGUGCGAAGGUAGCAUAAUCAUUAGUCUUUUAAUUGGAGACCUGUAUGAAUGGUUGGAUGAGAUACUAGCUGUCUCUUAUCUAUUCGAUGGAAUUUAACUUUUAAGUGAAAAGGCUUAAAUUUAAUGGAGUGACGAUAAGACCCUGUGAAACUUUAUAUACCUCAUUUUUAUUAAAAACAUAUAAGUUAAUUUUUAUAGUGGUAUGUUUCAUUGGGGAAAUGUUGACAUAAUUCUUAAUUGUUUAUUAUGAUAUAAUAGUCUAUAACUAGAUUGUGAUCCUUUAUUAUGGAUUAAAAGUUUAAGUUACUUUAGGGAUAACAGCGUAAUUUUCUCUAAGAGUCCUUAUCGACGAGAGUAGUUGCGACCUCGAUGUUGAAUUAAAAUUUCAGGUUGGUGUAGUCGCUUUCCUAGUAGGUCUGUUCGACCUUUAAAAUUUUACAUGAUUUGAGUUCAGACCGG